UGAGCAAUCUGCCCUUCUCAUCGGAAUAAGCGUUGGAAACGACGUCUAAUGCCGAAUACGACCUCCUUUCACAUGAUCGGAGGUGGAAAGCUCCGGCGGAGAAGGAUGAGCUCGCGGCCUAUCAGCUAGUUGGUGUGGGUAACGCCCACCAAGGCGACGACGGGUAGCCGGCCUGAGAGGGUGACCCGGCCACACUGGGACUGAGACACGGCCCAGACCUCCGUACGGGGAGG
rnacentral:rRNA from 1 species